UCAGAGCAGUAGGAACUUCCCUUACUGCCAUCGCUGCCCUUCAGCCGUUGAGCAGAGCUGGGAACCUGGCUGCCGCCAGACAUGGAGACCUUACCAGCAUCGGGAUCUUCUGUGUGGAAGGAGCUCAACCACUGCCUUGGGGACCAACCAGGCCUGGGGAGAGAAUCGUAUUUCCAUUUUGCAGAGGGGACUCAUGGUACACAGGAAGCUCUCCUGGAAUUUCUCAGAUAACCGUUACCUGUAAGACGGAUUGUAGAGGACGUGCAAUGGCUCAUCCCCAGAAACAAACUGGAAAAAAUCUUAAUGAAGGUGUACAAUAUGGAAGGUUCCCUGCCAUGGAGGAUUUAUGUGCCUACACUGUACUCGCCUGCCACGAGGCCUGCCUCUGCCAAAGCAGCGAUGCGUCACUUGGAUGCCAAAAAGCACUGAAACAGGAAGAGUUGCUGUUGGGUCCCAGCAUGGUGACUUCAUCACAGGCCUCAGCUUCAAACUGUGGAGUAAUAAAACUGAAUAGCACAAUAUAAAACUCCAUGUUUCAUAAGACAAAUAUUGCUUUACGCAUUCAUGUCCCUUGUACUAUGUUAACUGUAGGAAGAAAUGGAAUACAGUUUUAGUGACCCCCUGGGACCUAUAAAGGCUAUUUCUGAGUCUGAAUCUUGCUGUUUAAUUUAAUCAUUUAUUAUAUUAAUAUUCAAAUGGGCUGCAUCUUAUUAGCUACUGCAAAGAUGUUAGUAUGUCUGAAAUAAAUACCUAAUUAUGCUUUUG
rnacentral:lncRNA from 7 species